rnacentral:rRNA from 1 species
UGGGGAAUAUUGCACAAUGGGCGCAAGCCUGAUGCAGCCAUGCCGCGUGUAUGAAGAAGGCCUUCGGGUUGUAAAGUACUUUCAGCGAGGAGGAAGGCGGUAAGGUCAAUAACCUUAUCGAUUGACGUUACUCGCAGAAGAAGCACCGGCUAACUCCGUGCCAGCAGCCGCGGUAAUACGGAGGGUGCAAGCGUUAAUCGGAAUUACUGGGCGUAAAGCGCACGCAGGCGGUCUGUCAAGUCGGAUGUGAAAUCCCCGGGCUCAACCUGGGAACUGCAUUCGAAACUGGCAGGCUAGAGUCUUGUAGAGGGGGGUAGAAUUCCAGGUGUAGCGGUGAAAUGCGUAGAGAUCUGGAGGAAUACCGGUGGCGAAGGCGGCCCCCUGGACAAAGACUGACGCUCAGGUGCGAAAGCGUGGGGAGCAAACA